rnacentral:rRNA from 1 species
UACGUAGGGUGCAAGCGUUUGUCCGGAAUUAUUGGGCGUAAAGAGCUCGUAGGCGGUCUGUCGCGUCUGCUGUGAAAAUCCAGGGCUCAACCCUGGACCUGCAGUGGGUACGGGCAGACUAGAGUGCGGUAGGGGAGAUCGGAAUUCCUGGUGUAGCGGUGAAAUGCGCAGAUAUCAGGAGGAACACCGGUGGCGAAGGCGGAUCUCUGGGCCGUAACUGACGCUGAGGAGCGAAAGCAUGGGGAGCGAACAGG